UCAGACGAUGCGUCAUGCAUAUCAAUAAGCGGAGGAAAAGAAACUAACAAGGAUUCCCCUAGUAACGGCGAGUGAAGCGGGAAGAGCUCAAAUUUGAAAUCUUAAAGGGUUUCCCUUUACGAAUUAUAGUUUAAAGAAGUGUUUUCUGUUGAGGUUUUGGUAAAAGUUCUUUGGAAUAGGACAUCAUAGAGGGUGAGAAUCCCGUAUUUGACCUUUACUUUCAACUUUGUGAUACACUUUCAAAGAGUCGGAUUGUUUGGGAAUGCAGUCCAAAAUGGGUGGUAAAUUUCAUCUAAAGCUAAAUAUUGGCGAGAGACCGAUAGCGAACACGUACCGUGAGGGAAAGAUGAAAAGAACUUUGAAAAGAGAGUUAAACAGUACGUGAAAUUGUCAAAAGGGAAGCGUUUGACACCAGGUGUUGUUUUUCUGAAAAUCAAUUAAAGAACUGUUUAUGCUAAGCUGUUUAGACUUUAUCAGCUAUCUGUUUAGUUUUGAGCUUUUCUUUAAUGCACUUUUCAGUUAACAAGUCAACAUCAAUUUCUUUUGCUGUAAAAAAGCUUGAGGAAGGUGGCUUGAGAUUCGUCUUAAGUGUUUAUAGCCUCUUGCCUAUGCAGUCGGAGAGAUUGAGGUCUGCAGCGUAGAUCCUUCGGGGCUAAAUGCAUUUGUGCUAAGUUAUAGCAUUUUAUAGACAACUUGUUGACUAUGAUUUGUCUUGUAGCUUACUCGCUUAUGUUAUUUUACCUACGCUUAGGAUGUUGAAUCUGUGCGAGACUAC
rnacentral:rRNA from 1 species